rnacentral:tRNA from 1 species
GGGAGGCCAUGGCUCAGUGGCAGAUAAUUUGCUUUGCGUGCGGAAGGUCUCGGGUUCAAUUCUCGGCAUCUCCCA